ACUCAGCUGAUACGGACAGCGGAUGCGCCCUAUGACGUCAGUGACUGUUUACCUCUUCAUUCUUAAUCAGGAUGUCGACGAAGCAGGAAUUCGCAGAGAGUUUCUCUCAAACGUCACAGAGUACGAAAGUGUAAAUUUCGUGGAGCGUUGCAAGAGAAGCUCAAAUGAGAUAGGAAUUAGUAUGACAAGCCAGCAAGGAGAGAAUAAUUUUGCCUGUGUUCACGACGGCAGGAAUCUGGAAUCCAGGGACUCUGGAAUUCGACCUAAAAAACAAGUCAUUUUCCAGAUGUCUGGUCAUUUGCUCUGUUAGCAGAGGGAGAGAAGGCUUUAAGAAGGAUAAUAGGAGACCUGCAUUACUAACAUCAGGUCUAGCAAAGUGAGAGGGCUCUCCUUUUAUUAGUUUCCAACGACGUUCUUCCCAGAGACAUCCGGACACUUGCAAUGCCAGUUUCAACAAAGGCCUAUUUUGUGUCAGUUUAGUGUCGACCGUCGUGGAAUAUCCUUCUGUGUUCUGGUAGAAGAAGGAUGAAACGAAAAUUGCAAUUCCAACAUCAGCAAUGGGACAGUACAAGUCAAAGCUAUUUCUAGAGCCAGUGAAGGGAAUAUUUAUGAAUGGAGCAAGCAGAAGGUUCGUCCUUCCUCACUGGUUAUGUGGUGAAAUAGUUGCCAAGUUUCACUAUGUACGAAUAAAAGUUUAAAGUUGCGACCCUUUUGAAGCUGUCUAGUCUUAUAUCAUAUGAGCUAUGAAAUGCAUGGAAUCACUGAAGGUGUAAUGACAGAUGCUCCUGACUUCCAUACGUCAGUGUUCUAUGCAUUUCUCUAUGAAUAAAGUAACCAACUAGUAAUUUUCGUAACUCAUGGAGGUGCUACCUUUCUCCAUUAUAGCCAUUCUGGCAAACUAUAAUUCUUACAAAAAGGUAUGUUUUCUUAGUUCUCCAUCUGUCACAAUAGUUAUUUGAGAUGCUACUUAAUCUAAUAAAAAGCUAAUGGAAAAGAGAUCCAUGUUUUAUCACGUUUGAUAAUUUAGAAAUUAAAAAGUUUUUUAUUAUUAUUACUCUAGAUUCCUUGGAUAAUACUACGCUCUAGACACAAUUAAAAAGCAAAUAACUGACUACUCUUUGAUGAUGGAAAACCACGCAUGAUUAGCAUCUUAAAACCUGUCUGUAAGCCAAAACUAUUUAGAUGUAUUUCAUAUGGAAUUUACGAACCUUUGACAAUGAACAUACAUACAGAGACGCGAUGCCAUCUUAAAAAUGCGAGUUUUAAAGUUAGAAAGAUUGUGACAUUUGCAACCUUCAUCAUAACGUAGGUAAUACGUAUUGAUAAUGUCAACAUCGAGAGCCAAUGACAGAGCAACAAAUUUCCCACCUAACCAGAAUGAACUAACUACUAACUAUUUACGGAUUGAUUUAGUUGCCAGAAAUCACUAUGAUUUAAAGCAUUACAAAUAUAGCUUUAAGUGUGUUUGUUCUUCUGCCGAGCUAGCUAUUACAUAUAAUGAACGAUUGGAAGUAUAUUAGAAUAGGUUCUUAACCUCCAUACGUAACAUUCUAUGUGUUUUUCAGUCAAGAGGGUAACCAGCUUGUCUUUUCUUCCUUUACUUUUGCAGACGAUACCUUCAGUCGUUUGUUGCCAUUUUGGUGAGCGCUAAUUCUUACGAAAAUGUCGGUUUUGCAUAGAAAAUUUUUAUAUAUCACUCGCAAGAACCCUUGAAAUUAUUAUAUAAAUAUGAUGUAAAGAUAUUGGAAAAUGAAAUAAGAUUUUUUCACUUCACCUGAGUAAAAAAUUAAAAUAGGUUGUUUCUUAUUUCUCUAGACUCCUUGGAACACUAUGCACUCUUUUCUUUAUGCCUAUUAAAAAGUAAGCUGGCAACCCCUCAAAGAAGGAAAAUGACGAAUAAUUCGCACUUGAAAAGCGUUUCUUGAUUUUAUUUCUAUUUGGAAACAGGCAAUUUAUAAUUUUAAAGCACAUGAAAAUGGAUGGAUAUGAAAACACUAGGUACAUUCGUAAAAAUACAGUGCAGAGUUUAGAAGA